UCCCGAAUGGCGCAAUUGGUUUAGCGCGUAAGUAUUCAAAAUUCUUGGUCUUCCUUUUAUUAAUGGUUCCUAGGUCUGACUGUUAUCCAACAAUAAUCAGGAGGUUCAUGGUUCGAUCCCAUGUUCGGGAG
rnacentral:tRNA from 1 species